CUUUCUUUCAUUACACAUAUUUCUCUCUUUCUCGUUCUCUCUCUCUUUUACUUUCUAUCUUUCUCCCACCCUCUCAUACACUUACUCUUCUCACUCUCUUUAUUACACUCUCACUCUGUAUAUAUCUUUCUCUCUUUCUCUCUCUCUCUGUAUAUAUCUGUUUCUCUCUCUAUCUAUCUCACUCUCUUUAUUACACUCUCACUCUCUCUCUUUAUAAAUCUUUCUCUCUCUCUCUCUCUCUAUCUCACUCUCGUUAUUACACUCUCACUCUCUCCCUCUGUAUAUAUCUGUUUCUCUCUCCCCUCUCUUUCUCUCUUUCUCUCUCUCUCUCUCUCUCGAUGGAGUGAUAAAUCCUGCCCUCACUCUUCAUUCUGCACUGAGCUGCUUUUAUACUCACUUUUGCUGAGUAAAGAUUUCAGUUUUUACUGCAGAGAAUUAAGAGGCUGUUAACAUCCUGACGUUGGAAGAGCCGAACAGUCUCUGGAGAACAGUUCGCUUUGUGCUGAGAUUCUAUUUAUACUGUUGCCUUUUAUGUACGUUUAAAUUCAGCAUUUCUUUAGAUUUUUGUCUCCUGCCUCUGUUUCGUGUAUUGCAAAAAACAGACCAGUCGAAUAGAAAUAAUAUACACAGAUAUACCAGAAGUCAGGAAAUAGGAAUUAUGUAGGCGGGGUCUUCUGCAUUGAAUCCAGGAGGCAGGCUAUGUGGAAUAUAUGUAUAUAUUUAUAUAUCUAUAUAUGUCUGUCUUUAUCAGCAGAUUAUGCCCCGUGUCACUCAGUCUGAAGAGUGUUUGGACAAACUGUUAAAAUUUCUGGAUGUCAGAACGCUGUGCGAGAAUGGAGGUGUGAUAUUCAUUAAAGGUUCUGGCGGCCCACCUCCUUCCCCACCACCUCCGGGUUGGUCCCAUUUGGAUGCCCAGGGGGAUGGCUCCACCCUGUCUUCCAUGUAUGACAAGAUCUGCAGUAUCAAGUCCAGACGUAUCAAGGCUUGGGCUGAUGAGAGGACCUACAUCAAAGACUUUAUCCAAAAACAGUUUUUAAGUAAUUUCUUUUUUAAUAUACUUGUAUAUUUUUCAAUAUUAAAUAUUUAAAUAUUUAAUCACAUUUGCUUCAGGAGUCAUAAUAGUAGAAAGAUGCAAUCAAACGACAGCUAAAUAAUUAACCAAAACACACUGCCAAAACUACAAAGGAGUUCAUCAGAGGUGAGAAGUGGAAAGUUUUAGACUGGCCUAGUCAAUCUCCAGUUUUAUAGACCUUAUAUACUCCCCAUAGAUCAGGGGUCAACAAUUAAGUUUGGCCGUGAGCCAGAUAUUUUCCAAGCCUGUUUUGGAAAAUUAAGUGUAAUGGGUUGAAGUGCUACAGACUAGAAGUUCUCCAGGCCAGAGGGUUGUUGAACCCAAUUGCAGUACAGUUGAUCUCAAGCAGGAAAACCCAAGAAAAAAGGAAAAAAUAAAUACAUAAACACACCGCUCCUCA
rnacentral:lncRNA from 1 species